GAUGAACGCUGGCGGCGUGCCUAAUACAUGCAAGUCGAGCGAACGGACGAGAAGCUUGCUUCUCUCACGUUUGCGGCGGACGGGUGAGUAACACGUGGAUAACCUACCUAUAAGACUGGGAUAACUUCGGGAAACCGGAGCUAAUACCGGAUGAUAUUCUGAUCCGCAUGGUUCAAAAGUGAAAGACGGUCUUGCUGUCACUUCUAGAUGGAUCCGCGCUGCAUUAGCUAGUUGGUACGGUAACGGCUUACCAAGGCAACGAUGCAUAGCCGACAUGGGAGGGUGAUCGGCCACACUGGAACUGAGACACGGUCCAGACUCCUACGGGAGGCAGCAGUAGGGAAUCUUCCGCAAUGGGCGAAAGCCUGACGGAGCAACGCCGCGUGAGUGAUGAAGGUCUUCGGAGCGUAAAACUCUGUUAUUAGGGAUGAACAUAUGUGUAAGUAACUGUGCAGAUCUUGACGGUACCUAAUCAAAAAGCCACGGCUAACUACGUG
rnacentral:rRNA from 1 species